UGGAAGUAAAAAUCGUAACAAGGUUUCCGUAGGUGAACCUGCGGAAGGAUCAUUACAGAAUGAAAAGUGCUUAACUGCAUUUUUUCUUACACAUGUGUUUUUCUUUUUUUGAAAACUUUGCUUUGGUAGGCCUUCUAUAUGGGGCCUGCCAGAGAUUAAACUCAACCAAAUUUUAUUUAAUGUCAACCGAUUAUUUAAUAGUCAAAACUUUCAACAACGGAUCUCUUGGUUCUCGCAUCGAUGAAGAACGCAGCGAAAUGCGAUAAGUAAUAUGAAUUGCAGAUAUUCGUGAAUCAUCGAAUCUUUGAACGCACAUUGCGCCCUUUGGUAUUCCAAAGGGCAUGCCUGUUUGAGCGUCAUUUCUCCCUCAAACCCUCGGGUUUGGUGUUGAGCGAUACGCUGGGUUUGCUUGAAAGAAAGGCGGAGUAUAAACUAAUGGAUAGGUUUUUUCCACUCAUUGGUACAAACUCCAAAACUUCUUCCAAAUUCGACCUCAAAUCAGGUAGGACUACCCGCUGAACUUAAGCAUAUCAAAAGCCCGGAGGAAA
rnacentral:rRNA from 1 species